rfam:Sediminicola sp. YIK13, complete genome.
UAAGGUGGCUCUGGCGAUGGGGCCCACCCCUUUCCAUUCCGAACAGGGAAGUUAAGCCCAUCUGCGCCGAUGGUACUGCUAUACCAAGUGGGAGAGUAGGUCGCCGCCUUUU